UACAGAGGGUGCAAGCGUUGUUCGGAAUUACUGGGCGUAAAGCGCGUGUAGGCGGUCUGAUAAGUCGGUCGUGAAAGCCCUUGGCUUAACCAAGGAACUGCGAUCGAAACUGCCGGACUAGAGUAUCGGAGGGGGUGGCGGAAUUCCCGGUGUAGAGGUGAAAUUCGUAGAUAUCGGGAGGAACACCUGUGGCGAAGGCGGCCACCUGGAAGAUUACUGACGCUGAGACGCGAAAGCGUGGGGAGCAAACAGGAUUAGAUACCCUGGUAGUCCACGCCGUAAACGAUGAGUGCUAGGUGUUGCGGGUAUUGACCCCUGCAGUGCCAAAGCUAACGCGUUAAGCACUCCGCCUGGGGAGUACGGUCGCAAGAUUAAA
rnacentral:rRNA from 1 species